rnacentral:rRNA from 1 species
GGACUACACGGGUAUCUAAUCCUGUUUGAUCCCCACGCCUUCGUGCCUCAGCGUCAGUUGCACCUUAGUCAGCUGCCUUCGCUAUCGGUGUUCUGCGGCAUAUCUAUGCAUUUCACCGCUACUUGCCGCAUUCCGCCAACUUCAUCUGCACUCAAGUCUUCCAGUUUCAACGGCACUCCAGAAGUUGAGCCUCUGAAUUUCACCGCUGACUUAAAAAACCGCCUACGCACCCUUUAAACCCAAUAAAUCCGGAUAACGCUCGGAUCCUCCGUAUUACCGCGGCUGCUGGCAC